rnacentral:lncRNA from 12 species
AGAGCAGCACAUGAGCUGAGUCCACUCAAUCCAGCUCUUUGAUAAGUCUAGAUCUGUGGAAAUGGACAAGCUGGUCUGGCUUCCUGUGUUCAGGCUUCCUCACGAGUCAUUUUUCUGUAUUGCUGAGGAACAUCAGUGCCUGGAUUGUUCCACUCACUUCUGUCACACAGUGCUCCUGUCCCAGCACUCCAGGAAACAGUGAUGUGGAGCCUUCAGCACUCGGUUCCCUUCUGAGCCAAGAGGAGUCAGGCACUGGAUUCCUCUACCUUGGUGGCCACACGGUCUCCUUGAAGUGCUGAGCUGCCAAGCAGCAGCACUGAGGAGCCAGGGCUGAUGCACUGGAGUUCCAGGACACUUCCCACCAGGUGAGCACUGGACAGGUGAGCUCUGGGUACACACAAGGACUGUGGGUUGUUUGUCAAUGAUCUUUCUGCAUUCUAGGCUGCCGAUAUUUGGGCGUGAUAAGGACACUUCUGUACCACGCACCUGUAGGGCAGUACUGAGACACAGGACACAAGGCUUAAGAGUGUUGUCUUCCAAAAGUUUGCCUUCUGGUGCCUUUGUGAGAUCCAUUAUGGAGCAGCUGGCCCUGGUUUCUCUAAGCAAAGGAUGUGAACAGCUGAAAAAGCACCCAGCCAGACUGCUGGGAUCAGCACCCUGCCAAUGGCUGCCUCAUUCUCAUAAACACACAGAGCCCCAAAAAGAAACAGAACAAAUAUUUCAUAUGGUAAGUGUGAAA